CGGACGGGUGAGUAACACGUGGAUAACCUACCUAUAAGACUGGGAUAACUUCGGGAAACCGGAGCUAAUACCGGAUAAUAUAUUGAACCGUAUGGUUCAAUAGUGAAAGACGGUUUUGCUGUCACUUAUAGAUGGAUCCGCGCCGCAUUAGCUAGUUGGUAAGGUAACGGCUUACCAAGGCAACGAUGCAUAGCCGACCUGAGAGGGUGAUCGGCCACACUGGAACUGAGACACGGUCCAG
rnacentral:rRNA from 1 species